GAGUGAUGAAGCAAAACAUUGCAAUCAGUUUCGACCUGAUCUUAGAUAUAAACCUAUCCACACUCU
rnacentral:tRNA from 1 species